AAGCAAAACAAACAAAUUACAUGAUAACGGACAGCUAUUAAAUGCGAAGAAUUUGAACAUAUCGGGCACUGGCAGUUUAACUAAGCCAGUAGGUGGAAAAUCUGUUCGGCGAAGUAUUAAAACUCCUAUACACUCUGCAGUGGCAACUGGAGGUACAAAGAAAUUGUUCACGAGCAAGCAACGGGAGAAAUCUUUAGGGCGUGGAAGGUAUGAUCGUCGCGAAAGAGCACAACAAAAGGUAUCAGAAACAAGCAGGGCCAUUCAAACUGCCAAAAUGUUCAUUCCAGAAAAUCCUUAUUUCUUGCAGAUUCUUGAAAAAUACAACGUAGAACAGAACUAUAUUCUGAAUAUACCAGUUGAGUUUGUCCGGAAGUAUAUGCCAAAGACUUCAGAACUGAUUGAACUUCAAGAUACUGAUGGAAAUAAGUGGAAAGUCCGUUGCAUUAGGCGGAAACUUCGGGUGCUUUUAAGCAAAGGAUGGUUGAACUUUGUUACGGAUAAUAGUUUACUGGUAGGAGAUGUUUGCGUCUUUGAGUUGCUCAAGAACGUUCAGGCUGUUGCAUUAAUACUGAAGGUGCACAUGUUUCGCAAUAGGGUGGAAGAAAAUUCGAAAAAUUUACACACUGGUAGCCUAUUUGAACAAACUCUGUCUACUGGUAAAAACUGUGUACUUCAGUUCGAUGAAAGUAAGCAUACAAAGAGUUCAGAUGCAUUCGAACCAUUAUCUUCAGAUAGAACCAAUCACAAGACUGAUACAGAGAAUUCAUUCGGGCAGCAACAGGAGAAAUCCGUAGUGCAUGGAAGCUCUGGUAAUCGUCGUAAAAGAGGACGACCAAGGGAUGCAGAAGCAAACACUGAUACAGAGAAUUCAUCUAGACAGCAAGAGGAGAAAUCCGUAGUGCAUGGAAGCUCUGGUAAUCGUCGUAAAAGAGGACGACCAAGGGAUGCAGAAGCAAACACUGAUACAGAGAAUUCAUCUAGACAGCAAG
rnacentral:misc_RNA from 1 species